GAUGAACGCUGGCGGUCUGCUUAACACAUGCAAGUCGAACGAACUCUUCGGAGUGAGUGGCGGACGGGUGAGUAACGCGUGAGAAUCUGGCUGUGGGUCGGGGAUAACAACUGGAAACGGUUGCUAAUACCCCAUAUGCUUUCGAGUGAAAUGGUUUUCCGCCUAGAGAGAAGCUUGCGGCUGAUUAGCUUGUUGGUAAGGUAAUGGCUUACCAAGGCGACGAUCAGUAUCUGGUUUGAGAGGACGAUCAGACACACUGGAACUGAGACACGGUCCAGACUCCUACGGGAGGCAGCAGUGGGGAAUUUUCCGCAAUGGGCGAAAGCCUGACGGAGCAAUCUCGCGUGAGGGAUGACGGCCUAUGGGUUGU
rnacentral:rRNA from 1 species